rnacentral:rRNA from 1 species
UACGGAGGGAGCUAGCGUUGUUCGGAAUUACUGGGCGUAAAGCGCACGUAGGCGGCUUUGUAGAUUAGAGGUGAAAAGCCCCGGGGCUCAACCCCGGAAUUGCCUUUAAGACUGCAUCGCUUGAAUCCAGGAGAGGUGAGUGGAAUUCCGAGUGUAGAGGUGAAAUUCGUAGAUAUUCGGAAGAACACCAGUGGCGAAGGCGGCUCACUGGACUGGUAUUGACGCUGAGGUGCGAAAAGCGUGGGGGAGCAAACAGG